GUUUCCACUGCUGCACCAAGGGCACAAGUCUUAUUCAGCAGGAUUUGGGAUUCCUGGAGAACUGUUUUCAUGAAAAGUCAGAAAUAAUUUCUUUAUAUUCCAUCUCUUAGUUUUCUGUUUUGUUGCAUUUCAGAGGAACAUCAAGAAACC
rnacentral:other from 14 species